AUCGCUUCUCGGCCUAAUGGCUAAGAUCAAAAGUGUAGAAUCUGUUCUUAUCAGCUUAACAUCUGGUAAAUCACUUAUAUAGUGGUUCAAAUGUUAAUCUAAUUUUUUGACUGUUUGUGGAGACAAGGGGCUGCUUGCUCCUACUCCACAGCGGGUUGGUCCGGUGUUGCAGUACUUUCGGGAUCGACCCAUAUACC